UCCGGUUUGGCACCGGCAGUCUUCCUAGAGUCCCCGCCAUUACGCGCUGGCAACUAAGAACAGGGGUUGCGCUCGUUGCGGGACUUAACCCAACAUUUCACAACACGAGCUGACGACAGCCAUGCACCACCUGUGCCUCACCCUCGAAGGCGACCACUUUUGGGUGGCUUGCAGAGGCAUGUCAAGCCCUGGUAAGGUUCUUCGCGUUGCAUCGAAUUAAGCCACAUGCUCCACCGCUUGUGCGGGCCCCCGCCAAUUCCUUUGAGUUUCAACCUUGCGGCCGUAGUCCCCAGGCGGUUCACUUAAUGCGUUAGCUGCGGCACCGAGGGAGACCCCCCGACACCUAGUGAACAUCGUUUAUGGCCAAGACUAC
rnacentral:misc_RNA from 1 species